ACACAGGAAAAAUGCAAAAGCUCCAGUGACUUCCUGGGCCUCUCAGACCAUCAGCACAUGAUGUUGAACAGGGGGUCUGAUGUCCACCUAGAUCCAUCUAGCUAUGAACUCUUGACUGUGCAGGGAAGGGACAUGUGAAAACAUCCAGCAUGCACUUAACUGUAUGUGAGAACAUCCCUCCACAUUUAGGUGGUUUGGGAAGAGGAGAAAGAAAACGAGGAGAGUUCUGAUUGACAAAGCUCUGAGAGGCCUUCCAAAUCACUUUUUCUUCUAGUUUUCAGUGCUCAUUUGUUUUAAACAUUGACCAGAGAUCUAGAGUGCAAAACCAGCUGUACUUAUUUCAGUUUGCAAUGUUUGGUUACAUUUGAAUUCUUUGUACUGAAACCUACUCAUCUGUCAAACAUACAGGGGGUUGGUUGGUUUGUUUGUUUUGUUUUUUUUCCAAAGUGGAUAGCCUCACCCUAACAAAAUACUACUUGUGUGGGUCGGUGAGUUUGGUCACCUGGGUACAUACUACUACUGAGUCCUUGUUCCUGAGAAUCCAAUGGAGCCAUUUAUGCAAGGAAGGACUAUUUGCAACUACUUUUCAGGAUGCAGCUGCAUUGUGAAAAGUGUUGUAUAGUCUACAAAAAUAGUAUGGCAUGUAAUCUUAAAGGCCUAGUAUGUUUGCAUGGAAAAUCCACUAAAGUCCUUAUGUUGUUUCUUAUGACCUCACAAAGGAGUAAUGUAUUUUCAGGAGGUCUAUUCCCAGAGCUUGCCAAGGUCUGACAUUUUAAUCAUGAAAAGCAAUUUAUCUUCCUUUCAAUAUUAACUUAAGAAUGAUUUCAUCAGAUUUCAAAAAAUGUACCUAAUGGUUCUUAAUUACAUGACCUGAAAAAAAGAAGAUAUAUCUGAUGAAAUGGAACUAAACUGUGACACUCAUUGCAAUGUUAGAAUUAUUCUCCUGUCAUUGAACUAAUUUUGAGAUUUAAGAUUGACCUUACAGGAAGACAAAUUUUUUUUCAAUGAAAAUAUAGCUUAGUAUCUCUUUUUAAAUGUUUUAUCCCUGUUCCAAGUUAUAUUUUACUUUAAAGACUAUCAUAUGAAUUAAUUACAAUUAUAAGGAACUAAGAAGCUUUACUUUUAUGCUAUAGUUCCAAGGAAAACCAACUAAUUUUUCAUCUUCUUUCUCCCCCAUUUUCUUGAUGUCACAUUUAUUAAACAUUAGUUUUUUCCGAAGCUCUUUAUGUGAAACUUUCCGAAGUCUCCUUAGUGGAAAAUAUGGCUAAGACAUUAAAUACUAUAUGCAUAAUCUAUAUAUCAUUUUACUAAUGUAUCCCAUAAGUACUUCAGAUUAAGGAAAAAAGUUAUCUGGCUUCCAUAUAUUGCCUUACUAAAAGCUAAUAAAAUGAUAUAUGCAAUGG
rnacentral:lncRNA from 7 species